rnacentral:rRNA from 1 species
UACGGGGGGGGCAAGCGUUGUUCGGAAUUACUGGGCGUAAAGGGCUCGUAGGCGGCCAACUAAGUCAGACGUGAAAUCCCUCGGCUUAACCGGGGAACUGCGUCUGAUACUGGAUGGCUUGAAUCCGGGAGAGGGAUGCGGAAUUCCAGGUGUAGCGGUGAAAUGCGUAGAUAUCUGGAGGAACACCGGUGGCGAAGGCGGCAUCCUGGACCAACACUGACGCUGAGUGAGCGAAAGCCAGGGGAGCAAACGGG